GUCCACGCCCUAAACGAUGCGAACUGGACGUUGGGAGCAAUCAGGCUCUCAGUGUCGAAGCUAACGCGUUAAGUUCGCCGCCUGGGGAGUACGGUCGCAAGACUGAAACUCAAAGGAAUUGACGGGGGCCCGCACAAGCGGUGGAGUAUGUGGUUUAAUUCGAUGCAACGCGCAGAACCUUACCUGGCCUUGACAUCCACGGAAUCCUUUAGAGAUAGAGGAGUGCCUUCGGGAACCGUGAGACAGGUGCUGCAUGGCUGUCGU
rnacentral:rRNA from 1 species